UACAGAGGAGCCAAGCGUUGUCCGGAUUGACUGGGCGUAAAGCGCACGCAGGCGGGUGCGCGCGUGGGGUGUGAAAUCUGGCCGCUUAACGGCCAGGCGCCAUCCCAUACGGCGCGCUGGAGCCUUGCAGAGGUCGGUGGAAUUGCCGGUGUAGUGGUGAAAUGCGUAGAGAUCGGCAGGAACACCCAGGGGGAAACCGACGCCGACUGGGCAAGUGCUGACGCUGAGGUGCGAGAGCGUGGGGAGCGAACCGG
rnacentral:rRNA from 1 species